AGACGAGCGAGAUGACGGAACUACAGGCUGGCGAAGGCUCCGCCCACUCGCCGAAUCAUCCGUUAAUUGACAGCUGAGAGCCGCUCGAUGAUUGGCUGCGUCCUUGCAGCGGUGUUUCUACAGCCAGGCGGUCAGUCAAACCCCACCACUCCCUCCAUCUGCACCUGGAUUACCUACUGGGAGAGCACCGAGCGCCCUUUACAUCCAGCAUCAUCAAAAGGCUAAUUUCUCACAGAUUUGCAUUUGAAUAUCCUUUUGAACCAGUUCAUAUUGCAAUAGUACGUCGGUAACAAAAAACAUGAACAAGCAGUUAAUACCCAUCACGUCGGUAUCAUUCGUUCCUAUAUGCCUGGGACCAAACCGACCGGAUGGUUAAUGCCUUACAACCCGUUUCCCUACAUGUGAAGUUCUGCUUUUAUGUGAAAUCUGCUGGGCGUUGACAAGACGUCAAGCUGGUCCACCUGGUUUCAACACGAGCCUUCAGCUGCAUGUGCAUUUCUACUAUUGAAACCUAAGACGUAAACAUAAAUAGCAACUAAACAGGAAUGCAGUAAACAUUCAAGCUGCAGUAAGCAGACAGGAUUUUUACCUGAUAAAUGGCAUUUAGUCUUUUUCAGCAAUUCUUUUUCCCCCUAAUGUAUUAUGAAUGCGUAACUAAUGCUUUUCAUCACCUUAAACAUAGCAGACAUCAGAAGUGGAGGGAACAGAUGGAUGGAUGGGGGAGUUACUCGAUGCGACGAAGAUAAAAUGAGCAAGAGCAGUCACCCCCUCUCCUUUCUUCUCCUCCCCCUCCUAUUUUGUGCUGCAGUUUCCUAGCAACAUGAGGCUGGAGUGGAAAUGGUGAAGUGAUGCUGCUGCAUUUUAUGAAUGAAACUGGAAAAAGGAACGAGCCAGAGUGGGGAGGGGAGAAGACGGGGUCGGGUUUUUUUUUCCUUUUCUUUUUUCUUCCUCCACUGCUGUUGCUGUGCUUUCUAUUCUCCACGAGUCUCAGCAGAAAGGAGCUUGAAGGCACAGGGAUAAUCAGAAACCCCCCCAACUUUAUUUAACCUCGCCGUUGAUAAAAAUAAUUAAAAAAACAAAACAUGGAGGUAUAUAAUAUAUGGUUAUGCAAAAUUAAACAAUGCCCUCUCUAGCAGGCAAAACAAGCGUUAACAUUAUUUACAAAGAGCCUUUUAAACCGCAGAACUUGACAUUAACAUGGGAUCCGUUUCUCCUAUGAACAUCAAGUCUAGUGAAUUUUAAACAAGUGGUGGACUAACUGGGGUUUGCUCAAAUGUGUGGGUUUUCCAUUGCUAGUCAAAACCAACGGGGUUGUGCGACCUCUCAGGAGAAGACUGAAUAUUUUUUGUCUCGUGAGAAGCACCAGAUCAGAUCAUGUUUUUGUAUAAUGAAAAGCCUGAACUGUAUAAAGCUUGUGCUAUAUGUACAGUGAUGCAGAGAUCGAUGUCCAAUGCU